rnacentral:rRNA from 1 species
UACUCGAAAGAGUGGCUAAUACCGCAUACGCCCUACGGGGGAAAGGGGGGGAUCGCAAGACCUCUCACUAUUGGAGCGGCCGAUAUCGGAUUAGCUAGUUGGUGGGGUAAAGGCUCACCAAGGCAACGAUCCGUAGCUGGUUUGAGAGGACGACCAGCCACACUGGGACUGAGACACGGCCCAGACUCCUACGGGAGGCAGCAGUGGGGAAUUUUGGACAAUGGGGGAAACCCUGAUCCAGCCAUCCCGCGUGUAUGAUGAAGGCCUUCGGGUUGUAAAGUACUUUUGGCAGAGAAGAAAAGGUAUCCCCUAAUACGGGAUACUGCUGACGGUAUCUGCAGAAUAAGCACCGGCUAACUACGUGCCAGCAGCCGCGGUAAUACGUAGGGUGCAAGCGUUAAUCGGAAUUACUGGGCGUAAAGCGUGUGUAGGCGGUUCGGAAAGAAAGAUGUGAAAUCCCA